rnacentral:rRNA from 1 species
CCACCUCCGUACGCGAGGCCUGGCACAGGCAAAGAGAGAGAGAGAGAGAGAGAGAAACGUACGCGAGAGGGAGAGGAGAGGAGAUCGAGCUGCCGCUGCGCCACCCGAUCUCGCCCGCCAUUCCCCACCCCCGAUGCGAUCUCGCCGCCAAACCCUAGCAGCAGCGACCCCCACCAGCACCCCGCCGGAGUCCCCCCAGCGCCGCCCGCCUCGGCGUUGACGCGCCCCGCGCCCCUCCGCUCCCGCGGCCACCUCGCUCCCCACCGCUGCUGCCGCUUCAUAGCGCGGGAAGCGGGCGAUGGGGGCAGCGGACAAGUGGCUGCUGCCGCUGGUGUCCGUCUCCUUCGUCUCGCUCAUGCUCUUCCUCUCCGCGCUCUCGGGCUACUCGGCCUCCUCCGCGCUCUUCGCGCGCCUCCCGCCGCCCAGCUACGUGCGGCGCGGGGCCGCCGCGCCGCCCGCCUUCGCGUACCUGCUCUCGGGCGGCCGCGGGGACGGCCGCGGGCUCCUGCGCCUGCUCCUCGCCGUCUACCACCCCCGGAACCAGUACCUGCUCCACCUCUCCGCGGACGCGCCCGAGGCCGAGCGCCUCGAGCUCGCCGCCGCCGUCGCGCGGGCCGCGCCCGCAAUCGCCGCCUUCGGGAACGUCGACGUCGUCGGCCGCCCCGCCGCCGGCACCCCCAUGGGCUCCUCCGGCCUCGCCGCCACGCUCCGCGCCGCCGCCGCCUUGCUCCGGCUCGACGCCGAGUGGGACUGGUUCGUCACGCUCAGCGCCGCCGAUUACCCGCUCCUCACCCAGGACGACCUGAUUCAUGUCUUCUCGUCUGUGCCAAGGCACCUCAACUUCAUCGAUCACACUAGUGAUAUUGGUUGGAAAGAGUCUCAGAGAGUGCAACCAGUGAUAGUAGAUGCUGGGAUAUACCUGGCUGGCAGGAAUCAGUUCUUCCAAUCCACAGAGAAACGGGCAACUCCAGAUGGUUUCAAAUUCUUCACAGGUUCUCCUUGGGUCAUUCUAAACCGGCGGUUUAUAGAGUACUGCAUUUUCGGAUGGGAGAACCUCCCUCGAACCCUUCUCAUGUACUUCACCAACGUGAUGCUGCCUUUGGAAGGUUAUUUCCACUCGGUCGCGUGCAACUCGGACUUCCGCAACUUCACGGUGAACAACGACUUGCGGUACGUGGCCUGGGACGACCCGCCUCAGAUGGAGCCCCGGUUUCUGAACAUCACACAUUAUGAGGAGAUUGUGGAGAGCGGGGUGCCCUUUGCUAGGAAGUUCCGGGAGAAAGAGUAUCUGCUGGACAAGAUUGAUGAGAAAAUACUCCAGCGGUGGCGCCACAGACCUGUUCCUGGAGCGUGGUGCACAGGCAGAAAGAGAUGGUUCAGCGAUCCAUGCUCCCAGUGGAGCAACGUCAACAUUGUAAGACCCGGGCCCCAAGCUGAGAAGUUCCGCAGAUACAUGGACCGGAUCCUGGAAGAAUCGAAGUCGAGCAACAGCUCAUGCGCGCAAUAGCAGCACUGAACCGCGCGGCUGCGUGCACUUUCCGGCAGUCGAGCGUGUCUCAUUUUGCACAGAUCGAGUGGCUCUCCGCGUGUUCAGAACUCCGGCAUUUCCGCCUCCUGUGGGAGCAUUUUUGCUGCAGCUGGGUUGUGCGCACAGGGCCAAGCAUUGUUGGAGGCCAGGGAGCUUGCUUUUGGGUGGGGGUUGAUGAUUACCUGAGCUUGCAGGGAGUGUAAUUAGUAGCGAUGCGUCGAACGGCCUUGUGCGGAUGUUUAUAGAACCUUGGUGGAAUUCUUGGUGCUCCCAUACGGAAUUGAAUCGAGAGACAGGCAGAAAAAAAAACAUGAAGGGUGGGGAAUUUUGUUGGCCUUGCGGUUGUGGACUGGUUGCUGUUGUGCUUAACAGAACGCUCACAUUUUUUAUUUUUUGUACUCCUGAACUGCAGAAUGCUCACAUUUAUCUUUUCCAGUCUAAAUGUGUAUACAUCUUCAUGUAGCAAAGCUUUAGGAUUAUUACCAGGUGUAGGGUUGUAGAAAGAGUUGUUACUCUGCCUCGUUGGCUCUCUGAUUAAAUUCUGUUUCGGUUAG